CGCGAGGUGGCCGACGCGGUGGUGCAGGUGGCCUUCGGGGGGCUGCGCAGGGCCUCCUGAUCCGAGCCGGGCCUCGCCUC
rnacentral:tRNA from 1 species